rnacentral:rRNA from 1 species
AUUGAACGCUGGCGGCAGGCCUAACACAUGCAAGUCGAGCGGAUGAAGGGAGCUUGCUCCUGGCUUCAGCGGCGGACGGGCGAGUAAUGCCUAGGAAUCUGCCUGGUCGUGGGGGAUAACGUCCGGAAACGGGCGCUAAUAUCGCAUACGUCCUGAGGGUGAAAGUGGGGGAUCUUCGGACCUCACGCUAUCAGAUGAGCCUAGGUCGGAUUAGCUAGUUGGUGGGGUAAAGGCCUACCAAGGCGACGAUCCGUAACUGGUCUGAGAGGAUGAUCAGUCACACUGGAACUGAGACACGGUCCAGACUCCUACGGGAGGCAGCAGUGGGGAAUAUUGGACAAUGGGCGAAAGCCUGAUCCAGCCAUGCCGCGUGUGUGAAGAAGGUCUUCGGAUUGUAAAGCACUUUAAGUUGGGAGGAAGGGCAGUAAGUUAAUACCUUGCUGUUUUGACGUUACCAACAGAAUAAGCACCGGCUAACUUCGUG